rnacentral:rRNA from 1 species
ACGCUGGCGGCAUGCUUUACACAUGCAAGUCGGACGGCAGCACAGAGAAGCUUGCUUCUUGGGUGGCGAGUGGCGAACGGGUGAGUAACAUAUCGGAACGUACCGAGCAGUGGGGGAUAACUAAUCGAAGGAUUAGCUAAUACCGCAUAUUUUCUGAGGAAGAAAGCAGGGGACCAUUUGGCCUUGCGCUGUUUGAGCGGCCGAUAUCUGAUUAGCUAGUUGGUGGGGUAAAGGCCUACCAAGGCGACGAUCAGUAGCGGGUCUGAGAGGAUGAUCCGCCACACUGGGACUGAGACACGGCCCAGACUCCUACGGGAGGCAGCAGUGGGGAAUUUUGGACAAUGGGCGCAAGCCUGAUCCAGCCAUGCCGCGUGUCUGAAGAAGGCCUUCGGGUUGUAAAGGACUUUUGUCAGGGAAGAAAAGGGCGGGGUUAAUACCCCUGUCUGAUGACGGUACCUGAAGAAUAAGCACCGGCUAACUACGUGCCAGCAGCCGCGGUAAUACGUAGGGUGCGAGCGUUAAUCGGAAUUACUGGGCGUAAAGCGGGCGCAGACGGUUACUUAAGCAGGAUGUGAAAUCCCCGGGCCCAACCUGGGAACCGCGUUCUGAACUGGGUGACUAGAGUGUGUCAGAGGGAGGUAGAAUUCCACGUGUAGCAGUGAAAUGCGUAGAGAUGUGGAGGAAUACCGAUGGCGAAGGCAGCCUCCUGGGAUAACACUGACGUUCAUGCCCGAAAGCGUGGGUAGCAAACAGGAUUAGAUACCCUGGUAGUCCACGCCCUAAACGAUGUCGAUUAGCUGUUGGGCAGCAUGACUGCUUAGUAGCGAAGCUAACGCGUGAAAUCGACCGCCUGGGGAGUACGGUCGCAAGAUUAAAACUCAAAGGAAUUGACGGGGACCCGCACAAGC